GGGUCCGUAGCUCAGUUGGUAGAGCAAGCGACUUUUAAUCGAGAGGUCCCGGGUUCGAGUCCCGGCGGACCCACCA
rnacentral:tRNA from 21 species